UGGUUAUUGACUUUGGCUUCGUUUGAUUUCACUGUAUUCUGCUAUCCUUUUGGUUUUCCUUCAUCGUUGUGUCCCUUUCUGUGUCCCUUACCUCGGCAAGUAUUCUGACUAUUCUCUGAUACGUUAAGUCCAGCCAUUCUAGGGCCCAGUAAGACAUUACCUAUUAGUCCUAGGUGUGACACAGUUCUACGUGCUGGAUCAACUAGUAAUCC